rnacentral:rRNA from 1 species
CCUACGGAGGGCAGCAGUGGGGAAUCUUGCACAAUGGGGGAAACCCUGAUGCAGCGACGCCGCGUGAGUGAAGAAGUAAUUCGUUAUGUAAAGCUCUAUCAGCAGGGAAGAAAAUGACGGUACCUGAGUAAGAAGCCCCGGCUAACUACGUGCCAGCAGCCGCGGUAAUACGUAGGGGGCAAGCGUUAUCCGGAUUUACUGGGUGUAAAGGGAGCGUAGACGGCUUGGCAAGCCAGAGGUGAAAGGCUGGCGCUCAACCCCAGGACUGGAUUUGGAACUGGCAUGCUAGAGUGUCGGAGAGGCAGGCGGAAGUCCUAGUGUAGCGGUGAAAUGCGUAGAUAGUAGGAGGAACAACAGUGGCGAAGGCGGCCUGCUGGACGAUGACUGACGGUGAGGCUCGAAAGCGAGGGGAGCAAACAGGAGUAGAUACCCGGUAGUC